rnacentral:rRNA from 1 species
GACGAACGCUGGCGGCGUGCCUAAUACAUGCAAGUUGAGCGCUGAAGGUUGGUACUUGUACCAACUGGAUGAGCAGCGAACGGGUGAGUAACGCGUGGGGAAUCUGCCUUUGAGCGGGGGACAACAUUUGGAAACGAAUGCUAAUACCGCAUAAAAACUUUAAACACAAGUUUUAAGUUUGAAAGAUGCAAUUGCAUCACUCAAAGAUGAUCCCGCGUUGUAUUAGCUAGUUGGUGAGGUAAAGGCUCACCAAGGCGAUGAUUCAUAGCCGACCUGAGAGGGUGAUCGGCCACAUUGGGACUGAGACACGGCCCAAACUCCUGCGGGAGGCAGCAGUAGGGAAUCUUCGGCAAUGGACGAAAGUCUGACCGAGCAACGCCGCGUGAGUGAAGAAGGUUUUCGGAUCGUAAAACUCUGUUGGUAGAGAAGAACGUUGGUGAGAGUGGAAAGCUCAUCAAGUGACGGUAACUACCCAGAAAGGGACGGCUAACUACGUG